ACAAGUAGAGAUGCAGCGACAUGGUAGUAGUCUGCGUCCGCGUUUUACGUUUUCUUUCCUAAUGUGCGGGUCCCCUCGCCACAUCAUCAUCUUCAAGCCUCAUCCAUGGAAUAACCGCACGCACGACCUCGUCCGUUUUCAGUUUCUUUGCGUUUCCUCUCGACUUGAUUCCCGGCGAUUUAAGCCACCAUUUAACGAGCGGUUUGUUCCUACUUAAGCCCCACUCACUCCUCUCUAUUUCCCCUCUCCUUCCUCUCCAAAUAGUGCCCCAAGGCUGCUCGUUUCCGUCGUCGAACUCCGCAGUUCUGCCGCCGUUCGUCGACGAUUUUCGCGAGCGAAUCGACGUCGCGGUCAUUUUCUGCAUCUCGUCGGCGGUCACACGAACUCCGUCCGCUCUCCAACGACGCCAUGGAAGCAGGAGUGGUGCCGAGAAGGUCAUCGGGGCCGCCUUGAAGCCCGCGUCUCCUCGCCUAUCUUCCUCCAUCGUCGGACACGGAGACCACCCGAGCGGCAUCAUCGACGACGCGCACAGCAGCUCUAUCCACACCCACGAACUCUGCAUCGUCGGUAUUGCCUUCGUGCGUAUGUCUUGAACGGAGAGCUACGUCGUUGUUGUGAGAAGUGAACGAUCUUCGACUACCAAAAAG